rnacentral:misc_RNA from 1 species
GAUGAAGAACGCAGCGAAAUGCGAUAAGUAAUGUGAAUUGCAGAAUUCAGUGAAUCAUCGAAUCUUUGAACGCACAUUGCGCCCGCCAGCAUUCUGGCGGGCAUGCCUGUUCGAGCGUCAUUUCAACCCUCGAGCCCCCCCGGGGGCCUCGGUGUUGGGGGACGGCACACCAGCCGCCCCCGAAAUGCAGUGGCGACCCCGCCGCAGCCUCCCCUGCGUAGUAGCACACACCUCGCACCGGAGCGCGGAGGCGGUCACGCCGUAAAACGCCCAAUUUCUUAGAGUUGACCUCGGAUCAGGUAGGAAUACCCGCUGAACUUAAGCAUAUCAAUAAGCGGAGGA